rnacentral:rRNA from 1 species
GACGAACGCUGGCGGCGUGCUUAACACAUGCAAGUCGAACGCACGGCCUUGGGGUUUUCUUGGGGUUGGUGAGUGGCGAACGGGUGAGUAACACGUGAGUAACCUGCCCUCUUCUUUGGGAUAACGGUCGGAAACGGCUGCUAAUACUGGAUAUUCACACAUUGUCGCAUGGUGGUGUGUGGAAAGCUUUUGUGGUGGGGAUGGGCUCGCGGCCUAUCAGCUGGUUGGUGGGGUAACGGCCCACCAAGGCGACGAUCAGUAGCCGACCUGAGAGGGCGACCGGCCACAUUGGGACUGAGACACGGCCCAA